UGGAGGAUUAUCUGCGGAUCUGCAGCCGGACUGGCGGUGCUAGGAGAGACAGGAGACUGGUGAAGGAGAUAACAGGCUGUGUGCAAAGACAGGCGAGGAAAUGACGAUAUCUGUGUUGCACCCACCUCUGCUUCCCUGAGCUGGGGAGCUGCUCCCACACAACGAGGUCAUGACCUCCGGUGACCCACCGGUGGUCUCCACUCCCCGUGGUCCAAGCUGCAAAGCAAAGGACUCUGGGAGCAUCAGGCCAGGUCAGAGAGGCCAGGUAGCGACACUGAGGCAGAGAGAAUACUGGAGGGAGAGGAGGAGCAGGAGAUAAAGGGAUAAAGUCUUCCCAUCCAAUUCCAGAGCUCACCAGUCCUCCAGUGCAGGAUCUUGAGCCAGGCUCGACCAUAAGCCAGGAAAACUCUGUCUCCGCGGGGGCUAAGGGUCAGACGCCCGCCCGACUCCCCUCCGCAGCCCGUUAACUGGCCGUUCCAGUGGUAGAGCAGCCUCAGGGGGUCUCGAUCUGAACACCGGUUCUCCCACACAGACACCCCUCCCUCAGCCGAGCCGCUGAACACCAGCGGACCCUGAGACUGUAGAGGGCACAAGAGGCACGGUUGUCAUGGAGAUCUGAGUCUUUACCCAGUGUGUUUAUGUGUAAUUGUGUUUAUGUGUGGAGCAAAAAGCAGAGAGAGUAUGAAUGUUUGUGUAAAUGGAAAAGAAGUGUGCGACAGUUUUAGAAUGUACAUUUCUGUGAUGCUCUUGGUUAUAAAUGGAUUGUGUGUUUUGCAUAACAAACAACAAAGAGGAUGACAAUGAUGCGCUAUGCUUUCAUGCCUCAGGCAUAUUUUGAUGAUUGCAAAUCGAGAAAAAUGUGCAUAUGCAGCCCUGGAUUUCAAUAUUCAUAAAAGCCUUUUUACUGAAAAUAUGUACAGUAUCCUUGCUAAAAUUGGCUGAGCUCCACAGUUUACAUCUCUACAAAAUAUCUUUUGAUUUCCAUGUGAAAGUAAUAAACAAGAAAAGCUAAGAGGACAAGAGUGUAAAAAUGUAGCAGCUUGAUUUCUUGUGGAGAUGCUUUUCAGAAAAUAAUUUAUUAAGUGCUUUAGACAGCCUCUGUAGAGAAUCUGCUGGGUUUUUUUCUACUAGAUUCAAAACAAAAACAGCUGGAGAAUCUUCA